rnacentral:rRNA from 1 species
UCGAACGGUAACAGGAAGAAGCUUGCUUCUUUGCUGACGAGUGGCGGACGGGUGAGUAAUGUCUGGGAAACUGCCUGAUGGAGGGGGAUAACUACUGGAAACGGUAGCUAAUACCGCAUAACGUCGCAAGACCAAAGAGGGGGACCUUCGGGCCUCUUGCCAUCGGAUGUGCCCAGAUGGGAUUAGCUAGUAGGUGGGGUAACGGCUCACCUAGGCGACGAUCCCUAGCUGGUCUGAGAGGAUGACCAGCCACACUGGAACUGAGACACGGUCCAGACUCCUACGGGAGGCAGCAGUGGGGAAUAUUGCACAAUGGGCGCAAGCCUGAUGCAGCCAUGCCGCGUGUAUGAAGAAGGCCUUCGGGUUGUAAAGUACUUUCAGCGGGGAGGAAGGGAGUAAAGUUAAUACCUUUGCUCAUUGACGUUACCCGCAGAAGAAGCACCGGCUAACUCCGUGCCAGCAGCCGCGGUAAUACGGAGGGUGCAAGCGUUAAUCGGAAUUACUGGGCGUAAAGCGCACGCAGGCGGUUUGUUAAGUCAGAUGUGAAAUCCCCGGGCUCAACCUGGGAACUGCAUCUGAUACUGGCAAGCUUGAGUCUCGUAGAGGGGGGUAGAAUUCCAGGUGUAGCGGUGAAAUGCGUAGAGAUCUGGAGGAAUACC